CGGGUGCACUGAUCCGGCCGGGCCUUUCCCUCUGUGGAACCCCAUGGCCUUCACUGGCUGUGCGGGGGAAACAGGACUUUUACUGUGAAAAAAUUAGAGUGCUCCAGGCAGGCCUAUGCUCGAAUACAUUAGCAUGGAAUAAUAGAAUAGGACGCGUGGUUCUAUUUUGUUGGUUUCUAGGACCGCCGUAAUGAUUAAUAGGGACAGUCGGGGGCAUCAGUAUUCAAUUGUCAGAGGUGAAAUUCUUGGAUCUAUUGAAGACUAACUACUGCGAAAGCAUUUGCCAAGGAUGUUUUCAUUGAUAAGGAACGAAAGUUAGGGGAUCGAAGACGAUCAGAUACCGUCGUAGUCUUAACUAUAAACUAUGCCGACUAGGGAUCGGACGAUGUUAUUUCUUGACGCGUUCGGCACCUUUCGAGAAAUCAAAGUGCUUGGGCUCCAGGGGGAGUAUGGUCGCAAGGCUGAAACUUAAAGAAAUUGACGGAAGGGCACCACCAGGGGUGGAACCUGCGGCUUAAUUUGACUCAACACGGGGAAACUCACCAGGUCCAGACACAGUGAGGAUUGACAGAUUGAGAGCUCUUUCUUGAUUCUGUGGGUGGUGGUGCAUGGCCGUUCUUAGUUGGUGGAGUGAUUUGUCCGCUUAAUUGCGAUAACGAACGAGACCUUAACCUGCUAAAUAGCCCGUACUGCUCUGGCAGUUCGCCGGCUUCUUAGAGGGACUAUCGG
rnacentral:rRNA from 1 species